GAGUUUGAUCCUGGCUCAGGACGAACGCUGGCGGCGUGCUUAACACAUGCAAGUCGAGCGGAAAGGCUCCUUCGGGGGUACUCGAGCGGCGAACGGGUGAGUAACACGUGAGUAAUCUGCCCUCCACUCUGGGAUAGCCCUCCGAAAGGGGGAUUAAUACCGGAUACGACCACGGUACGCAUGUGCCUGUGGUGGAAAGUUUUUUCGGUGGGGGAUGUGCUCGCGGCCUAUCAGCUUGUUGGUGGGGUAAUGGCCUACCAAGGCUUCGACGGGUAGCCGGCCUGAGAGGGUGACCGGCCACACUGGGACUGAGACACGGCCCAGACUCCUACGGGAGGCAGCAGUGGGGAAUAUUGGACAAUGGGCGGAAGCCUGAUCCAGCAACGCCGCGUGAGGGAUGACGGCCUUCGGGUUGUAAACCUCUUUCAGCACCGACGAAGCGAGCCCUUGUGGUGAGUGACGGUAGGUGUAGAAGAAGGACCGGCCAACUACGUGCCAGCAGCCGCGGUAAUACGUAGGGUCCGAGCGUUGUCCGGAAUUAUUGGGCGUAAAGGGCUCGUAGGCGGUUUGUCGCGUCGGGAGUGAAAACACCGGGCUUAACUCGGUGCUUGCUUUCGAUACGGGCAGACUGGAGGUAUGCAGGGGAGAACGGAAUUCCUGGUGUAGCGGUGAAAUGCGCAGAUAUCAGGAGGAACACCGGUGGCGAAGGCGGUUCUCUGGGCAUUACCUGACGCUGAGGAGCGAAAGUGUGGGGAGCGAACAGGAUUAGAUACCGGGUAGUACACUCAGUAAACGUUGGGCGAUAGGUGUGGGAUACAUUUCACGGUCUCCGUAUCAUAGCUAACGCAUUAAGCGCCCCGAAUGGGGAGUUCGCCCGCAAGGCUACAAUUCAAAGGAAUUGACGGCGAGCCGCGCAAGCGGCGGAGCAUGCGGACUAAUUCGAUGCCACGCGAAGUACCUUACCUGGGUUUGCCAUACUUCGGAAAGCCGCUGAGAUGUGGCCCCUUUUGUCGGUGUACAGGUGGUGCAUGGCUGUCGUCAGCUCGUGUCGUGAGAUGUUGGGUUAACAAGGGCAACGAGCGCAACCCUGAAAGUAUGUUGCCAGCACAACCUUCGGGUUGGUGGGGAGUCAUGGGAGACUCACGGGGUCAACUCGGAGGAAGGUGGGGAUGACGUCAAGUCAUCAAGGAGUUUGGUCCAGGGUCAGUCGCAUGCUACAAUGGCCGGUACAGAGGGCCGCGAUCCCGUGAGGGGGAGCGAAUCCCUAAAAGCCGGUAUCAAUUCGAUAGGGGGUGAGCACAUCGACCCCAGAAAAUAGGAGUCACCACUAAUACCAGAUCAGCAACGUUGCGGUGAAUACUUUUCCGGGCCGGUAGCACACCGCAAGUCAGGGCAGAAAGUCGGCAACUACUGAAGCCGGUGGCGUAAGCGUUGUGGAGGGAGCCGUCGAAGGUGGGGACGGCGAUGGGGAAGCAGUCGUAACAAGGUAGCUCGUUCCGGCUGGAUCACCUCCUUUCU
rnacentral:rRNA from 1 species